CUCAAGGCGCGGUGUGGCUGUCCCUGGGGACGCGGGGACAGCGCUGCGGGCUCUCUGCUGCCCAGCACAGGUGUGAGCCGUGCCCGCCCCCAGGUGCUGCUGCUGUGCUACAAGAGCUGCUGGGACGGCGCCUUCCAGGCCACCGAGGAGGUAAAGCCUCGGUGGGACAGAGCGAGGGGCUCGCCAGCCCCGGGGACACCGCCGAGCCCGGUGACACAGCCGGCUGGGGGACAGGGAGGGGCUCCCCAGCCAGGCUGGGUGCCAGGGGCCAUCUGGGCUCAGCUGCCCCUGGACCUGCGAGUCCCCACUGUCCGUGUUGGCUUCCAGCUCGGCACAGCCCUGCAGCUUAGACUGGAGGGGAGGGAGGAGGAGGAGGUGGACUCAGACUCUGCAUGGGAGCCUGGACAGACAGCGGCGUGGCGAGGGCAGCGAGGCCGUGCUGGGGAGGCUGGAGGCUCUGGAGGCCGAUGUUCGCUUCCUCUGCACCGAGCUGGGGGCUGAGAAGCUUCUGUGGAGCAGCCGGUUCCUGGAGCUGCUGCGGGAGCAGCAGAGCCUGCGCCAAAGGGAUGCCAGUGGAUGGAGGCACCUCGGCAGCCACGUGGCUCCAUCCAGCCUGACAGGCAGAAAAAGAGCAGGAACCAGCUGGAGGCAGGUCAGGACAAGCCCCUGGCCCUGGGUUUGCCCCAGGACACGUCACAGCCCUCCCUGCCCAGGGCUGCCCCUGGACUGACUGUGCCCCACAGGGCUGGCUCUGGUGAAGCCCACUGAGCCCUCCUGCUCUGCUGCUUGUUGGGAGGUUCCAGGAACAAGGAGUCUGGUCAGCACUGGGGUGACAGAUUGCAAAACUCACCCGCUGACUUCCUGCUUGGCCACAUCCAUCCUCUCCAUGAGCUGCUCCUGCACAUGUCGCAACCCUGGGCCAGCUCCUUGAGACAGUGGGCAAGGGCACCCAGCUCCCCAGGCACGGCUGAGCCCCCCUGGCUGCCCACAACACCUGGGCACGGAGCAGCAGCCCCACAGGAGCUGGGCUGAGGGGCUGCCCCGUGCCCAGGCCUGCCCAGCUCAGGGCUGCAUGCACUGCUCAAUACAGG
rnacentral:lncRNA from 1 species